UACGUAGGCAGCAAGCGUUGUUCGGAGUUACUGGGCGUAAAGGGUGCGUAGGCGGCUUUUUAAGUUUGGUGUGAAAUCUCCCGGCUCAACUGGGAGGGUGCGCCGAAUACUGAGAGGCUAGAGUGUGGGAGAGGAAAGCGGAAUUCCUGGUGUAGCGGUGAAAUGCGUAGAUAUCAGGAGGAACACCUGUGGUGUAGACGGCUUUCUGGACCAUAGCUGACGCUGAGACACGAAAGCGUGGGUAGCAAACAGG
rnacentral:rRNA from 1 species